rnacentral:rRNA from 1 species
UACGUAGGCAGCAAGCGUUGUUCGGAGUUACUGGCGUAAAGGGUGUGUAGGCGGUCUUCUAAGUUUGGUGUGAAAUCUCCCGGCUCAACUGGGAGGGUGCGCCGAAAACUGGAAGGCUAGAGUACUGGAUGGGAGAGUGGAAUUCCUGGUGUAGCGGUGAAAUGCGUAGAUAUCAGGAGGAACACCUGUGGUGUAGACGGCUCUCUGGACAGUAACUGACGCUGAGACACGAAAGCGUGGGUAGCAAACAGG